rnacentral:piRNA from 1 species
UUCUUGGUUAAAUUUAAUCAGGGCCAUCUU